UACGAAGGGUGCAAGCGUUAAUCGGAAUUACUGGGCGUAAAGCGUGCGUAGGCGGUUGGCUAAGUCAGAUGUGAAAGCCCUGGGCUCAACCUGGGAAUGGCAUUUGAAACUGGCCGGCUAGAGUGUGAUAGAGGAUGGCGGAAUUCCCGGUGUAGCGGUGAAAUGCGUAGAGAUCGGGAGGAACAUCCGUGGCGAAGGCGGCCAUCUGGAUCAACACUGACGCUGAGGCACGAAAGCGUGGGGAGCGAACAGG
rnacentral:rRNA from 1 species